GGAAACCGAGUCUUAAUUGGGCGUUAAGUUGCAGGGUAUAGACCCGAAACCCGGUGAUCUAGCCAUGGGCAGGUUGAAGGUUGGGUAACACUAACUGGAGGACCGAACCGACUAAUGUUGAAAAAUUAGCGGAUGACCUGUGGCUGGGGGUGAAAGGCCAAUCAAACCGGGAGAUAGCUGGUUCUCCCCGAAAGCUAUUUAGGUAGCGCCUCGUGAAUUCAUCUCCGGGGGUAGAGCACUGUUUCGGCUAGGGGGCCAUCCCGGCUUACCAACCCGAUGCAAACUGCGAAUACCGGAGAAUGUUAUCACGGGAGACACACGGCGGGUGCUAACGUCCGUCGUGAAGAGGGAAACAACCCAGACCGCCAGCUAAGGUCCCAAAGUCAUGGUUAAGUGGGAAACGAUGUGGGAAGGCCCAGACAGCCAGGAUGUUGGCUUAGAAGCAGCCAUCAUUUAAAGAAAGCGUAAUAGCUCACUGGUCGAGUCGGCCUGCGCGGAAGAUGUAACGGGGCUAAACCAUG
rnacentral:rRNA from 1 species